rnacentral:tRNA from 1 species
GCGGAGAUGGCGGAAUUGGUAUACGCGACAGUUUGAGGGGCUGUUGGGCGCAAGCCUGUGAGGGUUCAAGUCCCUCUCUCCGCACCA